rnacentral:rRNA from 1 species
UACAGAGGUCUCAAGCGUUGUUCGGAUUCAUUGGGCGUAAAGGGUGCGUAGGCGGCGCGGUAAGUCGGGUGUGAAAUCUCGGAGCUUAACUCCGAAACUGCAUUUGAUACUGCCGUGCUUGAGGACUGGAGAGGAGACUGGAAUUUACGGUGUAGCGGUGAAAUGCGUAGAUAUCGUAAGGAAGACCAGUGGCGAAGGCGGGUCUCUGGGAAGAUACUGACGCUGAGGUGCGAAAGCGUGGGGAGCAAACAGG